GGGCUCGCUGCGGGCUGUGCGCGUUCGGCAAGGACUGUGGCUCCCAGCGACCAGGACCCUCCGCCGUCACCGCCUGAAAUCACCACCACCGCACCACGUUGCUAUUACCUGAUUUAUUCCCUCCAAGGAGAAUAUAAGCAGAGAAAUCACGUUUUAGUUGGCUACCAAGAAGCUGAGUCGGGUGGCAUGAUUUAAGUGCUGGCCAGCAGAAUGAUACGUCCGAGAAGUCUCUUGAAAAGAAAGAGGUGAGGCUCUCUGCCCUGCUCAUGAAUGAAUGGGGAUUUAAGGGUCAUUCUGGACCACGAGGAUGGCAGUCACGUUCUAGGGACCAUGCAACAGAAAGCUGGAGGGAGACUGGAGCCUCCAGGAACCAUUGUGUGCACCUAGACUGUCUGCUUCUGGUCUCAGUCUCACAAGAGACACUGUGGGCAUCAUCCUGUAGCUUUUAUGGAAGGAACGGAGAUGGUUGAUACAGCACUGUUGAUUAAAGGGCAAUCAGUUAUAAUGGAUGAACAGAGGUUUAGAACAAAGCCAAUUAGAUAGCUUGGCAGCGUAUCUCUUCACGUUAAAGACGGCUUGAGGAAUGUUUCUGUCCACAGGGACAAACUUCACUCUUAUAACCAGAAUUCAUGCAACCACUGAAUACAUCCUUUCCUAUCGUC